rnacentral:lncRNA from 1 species
ACGACGCCCAUAGGAAAUUACGGCUUGUCCAGAAAGCACUUGGUUCUGAUGCGUUCUGGCAGCUACGGAAGACAGGAAGAGAGAGAGCAGCCGGGGAAGGAGAGGAGGGACCUGAACUGUGCGUCUUGAUUACGGCACCGCAGGAAUGCCCUGUCUCUGCUGGGAUGCUGAGCUCUGUGGGAGAAAAUGACACAACCCACAGAUUUGCACCAGAAGGAGAAGAAACCUAGGAUGACGAGGGGUCACAGAGGCCGAAUCUCUGUGAAGAGUAUUUCAAGAAGCUGACGCUUUUCCUGACUAUGGAGAGAUCAGUUCAAGUGAUGGCAGGAUUCCUGGCGGUGGCAACACGGAGUCACUGCUGAUGAAAAGGGACCUUCAGUGGCCUGGGGAGGGCAGUGCCACGUGGAGCAAAAGCUAAGGGACACACAGGAGAGGUCCUGGA